rnacentral:rRNA from 1 species
GUGAGGAAUAUUGGUCAAUGGACGAGAGUCUGAACCAGCCAAGUCGCGUGAAGGAAGACGGUUCUAUGAAUUGUAAACUUCUUUUGUGCAGGAAUAAAGUGGGUUACGUGUAACCUUUUGUAUGUACUGUACGAAUAAGGAUCGGCUAACUCCGUGCCAGCAGCCGCGGUAAUACGGAGGAUCCGAGCGUUAUCCGGAUUUAUUGGGUUUAAAGGGUGCGUAGGUGGAUUGAUAAGUCAGCGGUGAAAGUUUGCUGCUUAACUGUAAAAUUGCCGUUGAAACUGUCGGUCUUGAGUGCAAAUGAGGUAGGCGGAAUGUGUUGUGUAGCGGUGAAAUGCUUAGAUAUAACACAGAACUCCGAUUGCGAAGGCAGCUUACUGGGAUGCAACUGACACUGAUGCACGAAAGCGUGGGUAUCAAACAGGAUUAGAAACCCGGGUAGUCC